GUCAUUGUGGUGUAGUGGUUUGUGUGUUGGACUAGGACUUUGGAGACCAGGGUUUGAUUCCCUGUUUGGCCA
rnacentral:tRNA from 1 species